AGACAGCGUCGCAAACGCACUGAUUCGA
rnacentral:sRNA from 1 species